CCCAACAAGUUUAAUUUAUAUUUUUAAAUUUUAUACGUUUAGGUUGCGGGGAUCUAGAAAAUCUUACCUUUGGAAGCGAAUCUCGGAAUUACAUAAAUUGAUAAUAGAUAUUCAGACUGCUCAUGCUAAGUUGGGCAGUCAAGACGGAAACAGCCGAGAACACUGAUCAAGGUCCCAAAUGAUUGUUAAGUGAAAUUAAGGACGUAGCAAUAUCGUAUACAGCUGUGAAGUGAGCCUGGCAGUCGCUACUUAUAAUGAUCGUACGUAACAACGCAUCAGCAGUAUUAAAUUUUAUUAUUUAAUAAUAAAUUUUAAAUGAUAGUAGCGCCGAAAAUUUAACGGGUCUUAAACAAUCAACCGAUAUCGUGUUGGUUUUAUAAAAAAAUUAAAUUUUUUUAUAAAAUCUAGGUAGUAGAACAUUCAGUUUAACUGUUAAUUAAAUAGUGUUUCAUUGUUUAUUAGGUUACUGAAGAGAGAAUGCUGACAUGAG
rnacentral:rRNA from 1 species